rnacentral:tRNA from 1 species
UCCCUGGUGGCUCAGAGGUUAAAGUGUUUGCUUGGAAUGUGGGAGACCCAGGUUCAAUCCCUGGGUUGGGAA